rfam:Myotis lucifugus cont2.29720, whole genome shotgun sequence.
GGCGGUUCUCAGGUGAUGUGCCCAGAACCAGAAAGGAGGGAGCCUGAUUCUGGGGUGCAUCACCUGAGAACCGCC